UGGGGAAUUUUGGACAAUGGGCGCAAGCCUGAUCCAGCCAUGCCGCGUGCGGGAAGAAGGCCUUCGGGUUGUAAACCGCUUUUGUCAGGGAAGAAAUCUUCUGAGUUAAUACCUCGGGAGGAUGACGGUACCUGAAGAAUAAGCACCGGCUAACUACGUGCCAGCAGCCGCGGUAAUACGUAGGGUGCAAGCGUUAAUCGGAAUUACUGGGCGUAAAGCGUGCGCAGGCGGUUUUGUAAGACAGAGGUGAAAUCCCCGGGCUCAACCUGGGAACUGCCUUUGUGACUGCAAGGCUUGAGUGCGGCAGAGGGGGAUGGAAUUCCGCGUGUAGCAGUGAAAUGCGUAGAUAUGCGGAGGAACACCGAUGGCGAAGGCAAUCCCCUGGGCCUGCACUGACGCUCAUGCACGAAAGCGUGGGGAGCAAACAGGAUUAGAUACCCUGGUAGUCCACGCCCUAAAACCGAUGUCAACUGGUUGUUGGGAAGGUUCCUUCUCAGUAACGUAGCUAACGCGUGAAGUUGACCGCCUGGGGAGUACGGCCGCAAAGGUUGAAACUCAAAUGAAUUGACGGGGUCAUAGCUGUUUCCU
rnacentral:rRNA from 1 species